rnacentral:sRNA from 1 species
GUUUGCACUCAUCGGGGAAGGGUGAGAACCUUCGACUAAGGUUCGAUUCGAGCGAAAGCGAGAGAACGUUGCCACAGGCAACGGCCCGAAGGGCGACGAAUAAUCCUUCCCCCACCACCA